AGAGGUAGCCGGAGUGAAGUGAAGCACACAUUGUUGUGGAAUUAAACUAUCUUCCUUACCUUUCCUCCUUAAUGUUUCAAGAAAAGAAAAUUGGGUGGCAACCAAGAUAAAUUGGACCUAUUAACAAACAGCAAACAAACAAAAGGACUAGAGGACAGAAGAGAUGUUCUAGUUUGCUUCCUGUUGCUGGUGCAGACCUUAUGAGGAGAGAAUACUUGACAAUUGCACAUGGCGUGCAAGGAUGCGACUUCCAUCCUCACCAUGAAACGGGAGACCAACUUCACAAAGGCGAAAACUUUUAGAUACAGGAGCAUUCAUACUAGGUGAAUGCUUUGGUUGUUCUCUGAGCACGGACAGUUUGUGCUCCUGCCUGUGGAAGAACGCUGGCUCGAGGAUCUCUGAGACUCUCCUGAGGAUGUUCCGUGACUUCCAUGGAACUGCUGUGUUCAGUGUGCAGAGUGGACUACCUGCCCCGUGCUACCGGUGCUUAAUCCAGCAGAGGCCUCUUCACAGACUGUAGUGGACUGCAGGAUGACAACUUCAUUUACCAUGUCCUUUUAUCACAGAUGAAAACCCACAAGCCCAAGGACCUUGAACUUCAGACUUGAGAACAUGGAGCUGCCAUUACCCAGACCCAGACCCAGAGAGCAGAGUGAAGGGGAGAGCAAAUUGAAGCUUAGAGAUGAACAUUACCAUCCAGGAUAGGCUCGCGUACGGGCUGGAUGGAGACAGAAGAGGGUCCACUGGAGUUGGGAGGAGGGACUGAUGACAAUUUUUCGUGCUUGACUAGGCUUUUUAAAAAGCUACUUCUUAGGCCACUGUCCGGUGCCGGUUCCCUCCAGCAGCCCGUAGAGGCGGCACCGGUGAGUGCAGUCCGCGCAACCGAUGCCUGGUUAAGAUGGAGAAGUUUCUGCAGAUCGCGCCACACUCUCUGGCCAUCGUCCUGGGCCCGGCCGACAGCUCCGCAGAGAAGCCCGGGACAGUUCAGCCCUCGCCCCCGGUUCCCACCCAACCCCGGCAGCUCGCCCGACACCACAUCGGGUACGAGAUCUUCGCAGAUUUCAAAGCGGAGAACAUGCAACACUUCUGGAACAAGAAGGUCACAGCCGCGGUGGCCGAGACUUUUUUCCUAGGCUGGAUCGACGAGCAGGUCUUGCUGAUCCAGGGCAAGGAGGAGCAUUUAGAGGCGCUGCGGGAGGGCUGGACGCGCAGGGCUCUGCGACCCCCCUCUGGCUUCCAGAUCCGCUGCUUGGGCUGGUACAUGGAAAUCUAUGACUCCUCUGAAGCUUGUGGUGGGGCCACUUUCUUCUCCCAUCAUGUUGUGGUGUGAAUAGUUAUGUUCCCCCAUAGACUCAUGUUUGGAAUGUUUGGCCAAUAAGGAGUGGCACUACUAGGAGGUGUGUCUUUGUUGAAUAGAUGUGGCCUUGUUGGAGGAAGUGUCUCACUGUGUAGGUAGGCUUUGAGGUCUCAUAUGAUCAAGCUACACCCCAGUGUGACACACAGUUUCCUUUUGCUGCCUGCAGAUCAAGAUAGAGAACUCUCAGCUCCUUAUCCCGUGCUGUGUCUGCCUGUGCUCUGCCAUGCUUUCUGCCAUGAUGAUAAUGGUCUAAACCUCUGACACUGUAAGCCAGCCCCAAUGAAAUGGUUUCCUCUAUCAGACUUGUCUUGGUCAUGGUGUCUUCACAGCAAUGGAAACCCUAAGACACAUCACACAAGCAAUGUGGAGGCUUCAUCUUGCACCCCAAAUAGUUGCACAUCUACAAUUCCUAAAGAAGGCAAGAGCUUGACCAGAAGUGAAGCCUUGGCACACAGAGAACUGCUUCCUCUCAGGUCAGAGGUCAUUUAUAGGACAAAGCACUCUUCUCUUGUUAUCUGUCUGAAAAUUUGACAAGAAACUGAUUGGACCUGCAGAAGUCACCUGUAGCCUCAUAUGCAAAUUUUCAAGUAGAAUUUGACCAAGUGUGGAGAAAAAUUUGAUUUGGGCCAUUAAAAAAAUGAAAUCUAGUAAUGAAGAUUUGAACUUAAUUCAGUUUUUAAAAAUAAUGUAUUAAGUAACAAUGUAUUAAAGUUAAAUAAAAGCCGGUUUUUGUUUUUAUGAGUCUGUUGCACUACCUGCUUCUCUAAGAUGGCUGUUGCUUUUUGGUUUUUCAGUAUCACAUUUGGUUAAUACAUUUGUACUGACAUUGAAAGAGAAAUGGUAUGGGUGUAAGUGAUCAAGUUAAACUGAAAUUUAAAUUUCCUUUAUUGAAUAGUUUAGGCCCAUGUAGGGGCCUAGGUAAACAUACUUUCUUAACCUAAUUUGUACCUUCAAAUUUGGUACAUUUAAUUGAAAAGUAUUAUUAUUAUU
rnacentral:lncRNA from 1 species